UAUAGGAUGAUAGACUUGACGAAAUAGAGAACGGGUUACAUGAGAUCCUUGAAAGACAUAGUUUACCCUUUGCUCAAGUUUGGAUUCCUUUUUCUCGAUCUGCCUCUUUACACCUCCUGUAUUGUGCUGGUGCCCCCAUCUACGAACCAUUGAGAUCAAUGUAUAAUGAGUUUGAACACGUUUCUGAGGCCUGUUUUAUUGAGAAUGGUAAGGCAUUAGUGUGGAUCCCAAGGUUCAUGCUUUUGCAAAGAUGUUACUCUAUUAAGCUUCAACGAGUACCCUUUGGUGCCUAGUGCACGAAAAGCUAAAUUGACUCAAAGUUUUCCAAUUUGCUUGCAAAGUAAGUACGCCAACAAUUUUGUUUGCAUAGUUGAGUACUUUCUUCCGCCCAUGAAAUGGUUGUUAGAGAUACAAAGACUUUCUUAAACAUGCUUUUAUCCACAAUGAAGGAACAACUUCCAGGUUUCAUAGUUGCUUCUGGAAAUGAAUUAGGGCAGAGGAUGCUCGUUGAAGUUGUUAAAGUUUCCCAAAGUGUUGAACUUGACUUCUUUGAAAUUAGCCAACCUCUUCCGAGUGUUCAAUCACUUCAGGAUGGAGGAGAAACAACAGAAAUUGAUUCUUUCUGUCAACAGUCAAAUUUACAGAACGGGGAGAAUAAUGUUGCUGCUGCACUACUGGUUCCUUCUUAUUCAUCACUCAACUGUCAAAGGACAGUGGAAGUUGAUCCAUUACUUCCUCAUCCAAUAGGGGAAGCUAUGACAAACAGAGGAAAAAUAACUUGGAUAUAGCACAUGAUGAUCACAUUGAGGAUACAAGUGAUAUAAUGCAACUUGAUUCACACUUUGAGCAACCAGAUUUAGAAAUUAAUUCCGCGGGAAAUGAAACGAGUAACAACGAGAAAAUCCAUUCACAUAAGAACAACCCAAUACAAAGGAUAGAAAAAGAUUAUGAGAUUACUCGCAAGAUUCUGGAGCAGCAUUUUGGCAUGACUCUUGAAGAUGCUGCCAAAAAUCUACGUGAUGGCCACAUCAUAAGACUAGAAAGGUUAAUGUCCAUGUUAGCCAAGGCGUAUCUUUUCAAGGUGCUGAACCAUAUGUGGUCGAUCAACAAUGUCCUGCUCUUACCCAAGAAAAAGGCACCGAUUAUUUGGGUAACAAAAUAUCUCCUUCAACAGGAGUACCUUGUGAUAGUCUGAUGACAUAUAGAGGUGAUAUUAUAAAGUUUCAACUCUCCCUUUCAUCAACCAGGGUAGAAUUGGAAGGGGAAGUUGAAAAGAGGCUUAAGAUAUCAAUUCAAAGGUUUUUAAUCAAGCAUCAAGAUGAAGAUAAAGAUUGGAUUUUAAUAACUACUGAUACAGAUGAAGGGGAAGGACUACUAUGAGAUUACUGGUUACCCCAGAAGCUGACACAUGAAGGAUUUUCCCUAAGUUUUGUUAUGGUUAUCUUUAUAGCAGAAAUGUUAUCUUUUGAUGACAUGGUGUUUGUCUCUUCCCUGCGGUGUUUUGACUUGUCUUUGUGCUCGGUGAACCAAGGUGAUUAAUGCUGUUAGAAAGAUUGCUAUAAAUAAAAGAGGAAAAUAAUCCAUUAGGGCUUAUGCUAAGAGUUAUGUUGUUUUCUUUUCAUUAGCUAUUUUGUAAUAGCAGUUUGGAAACUCCCUUUUCUAUUUCCGUUUGUUCUUUAAUUGCAUGAACAAUCGACUAGUAAGUUCCUUUGAUAAUCAAUACAAAUCUUAAUUUGUUA